rnacentral:rRNA from 1 species
CCUAACACAUGCAAGUCGAACGGUAACAGGAAGAAGCUUGCUUCUUUGCUGACGAGUGGCGGACGGGUGAGUAAUGUCUGGGAAACUGCCUGAUGGAGGGGGAUAACUACUGGAAACGGUAGCUAAUACCGCAUAACGUCGCAAGACCAAAGAGGGGGACCUUCGGGCCUCUUGCCAUCGGAUGUGCCCGGAUGGGAUUAGCUUGUAGGUGGGGUAACGGCUCACCUAGGCGACGAUCCCUAGCUGGUCUGAGAGGAUGACCAGCCACACUGGAACUGAGACACGGUCCAGACUCCUACGGGAGGCAGCAGUGGGGAAUAUUGCACAAUGGGCGCAAGCCUGAUGCAGCCAUGCCGCGUGUAUGAAGAAGGCCUUCGG